UUUUUCGGCAGAACACAAAUACUAAAAUUGGAACGAUACAGAGAAGAUUAGUAUGGCCCCUGCACAAGGAGAGAUUCAAAACAGACAAAAGGGAAGUAUUUCU